rnacentral:rRNA from 1 species
CCUACGGGAGGCAGCAGUAGGGAAUCUUCCACAAUGGGCGAAAGCCUGAUGGAGCAACGCCGCGUGGGUGAAGAAGUUCUUCGGAUCGUAAAACCCUGUUGUUAGAGAAGAAAGUGCGUGAGAGUAACUGUUCACGUUUCGACGGUAUCUAACCAGAAAGCCACGGCUAACUACGUGCCAGCAGCCGCGGUAAUACGUAGGUGGCAAGCGUUAUCCGGAUUUAUUUGGCGGAAAGGGAACGCAGGCGGUCUUUUAAGUCUGAUGUGAAAGCCUUCGGCUUAACCGGAGUAGUGCAUUGGAAACUGGGAGACUUGAGUGCAGAAGAGGAGAGUGGAACGCCAUGUGUAGCGGUGAAAUGCGUAGAUAUAUGGAAGAACACCAGUGGCGAAAGCGGCUCUCUGGUCUGUAACUGACGCUGAGGUUCGAAAGCGUGGGUAGCAAACAGGAUUAGAUACCCUUGUAGUC